GACGAACGCUGGCGGCGUGCUUAACACAUGCAAGUCGAACGGAAAGGCCCUGCUUGCAGGGUGCUCGAGUGGCGAACGGGUGAGUAACACGUGGGUGAUCUGCCCCUUACUUUGGGAUAAGCCUGGGAAACUGGGUCUAAUACUGGAUAGGACCAUGCUGUAGGUGGUGUGGUGGAAAGAUUAGUUUCGGUAAGGGAUGAGCUCGCGGCCUAUCAGCUUGUUGGUGGGGUAAUGGCCUACCAAGGCGUCGACGGGUAGCCGGCCUGAGAGGGUGGACGGCCACAUUGGGACUGAGAUACGGCCCAGACUCCUACGGGAGGCAGCAGUGGGGAAUAUUGCACAAUGGGCGCAAGCCUGAUGCAGCGACGCCGCGUGGGGGAUGACGGCCUUCGGGUUGUAAACUCCUUGCAGCCAUGACGAAGCCCUUGUGGUGACGGUAGUGGUAGAAGAAGCACCGGCUAACUACGUG
rnacentral:rRNA from 1 species